AGAGUGUUUUUGGGGUUCCUCAGUUGCAGUGAGAUGUGAGGCACUUGCAGAGACUCAGUCCACCACCCUGGGCAGCUUUCACCACCCUGGGCAGCUUUUCCGAGACGUAGGGACUGGCUUGCCGUAAUUCAUAGCUUCUGCUGUCCCUUGCUACAUACCUCCUGUUUGGUCACAAACUAGGAUUGCAGCAUCUGCUUGUAGGCUCAAAAUAAAGGGAUGGAGAAAAAUCGACCAAGCAAAUGGAAAACAGAAAAGAGCAACUUGCUUCCUGAAAAUUCACGGGUCUCGCUCUGUUACCCAAGCUGGAGUGCAGCGGUGUGAUCAUGGUUCACUGCAGCUUCAACUUCCUGGGCUCAAGGGACUCUUCCACCUCAGCCUCCUGAGUACCUGAGACUACAGUUCUGUGCCAUGCCUGGCUAAUCUUUUUUUUCUUUUGUAGAGACAGGAUCUUGCUACACUGACCAGGCUGGUCUUGACCUCCUGGCCUCAGGCUAUCCUCCCACCUUUGCCUCCCAAAGAAAAAUCAGUCUUUUGUUAUGUCUUCAUUUUAUUCACAUGCAUGCUUGAUUCAUGUUCUGUUGCUUCUAUUGAUUAUUAAAUCUGGUUUCAGAGUACUAGACAGACUGUCUUGCUGUGUUGCAUUCUACUGUUUUGACCACGAAAGGACAGGUUAAAUAUUGUGUUCUGUUACAAAAUGAAAUGGAAAACUAGGAUCAUUCACAAAAUAUUUGAUGUACUAUGGCUCAUUCUUUUCAUGGUUGUCUUUGUAUUUCAGAAAUGCUUCUUUACUGUUUGAAUGACCAUAUAUGGAAAAUAGACACCGUACAAACUCUUCCUCCUAGUUUCAAUUUUCUUUUUAACAAAAUGCUUCAUUCUUUUGUUGGACGUAGUAUAAGUAAUAUGCAUGCAACAGACAUCCCUGAAUUUCAACUCAUCCUAACCUUUCUGCCAAUUAAUGGAGACUUACAACUGAUGUUUUAUUCAUUUCUACAUUAUUUGACUGUUUUAUAGGAAUGUAUUAAUAAUCAGAAAAAU
rnacentral:lncRNA from 1 species